AUUAAUUAAAACUUGGAAGUGGAUAUUCGUCCGACAUUUCCAUAUCGUUAAAGUCGUUAAAAAUAAAACAGCGUAAAUUUAAUUGAAUUUCAAGCGAAUCCUUCGUAGUGUAGUGGUUUAGGCACCCGUAUUGUGUGCGCCAAGUUCUGGGAUCGAUUCCUGCUCGCGCCACUAUUUUUUUUUUCUUCGUGAUUUUCGCUUACGCACCGCGUACGAAACGUAUAGCGUAUCGAAUAUGUUGUUGCUUCGUUCUUAAGAAACAACGCAACCCUUUUAGUGGUUUAGUGUUAGCUUUUAAAGCGUUGUCGGAUGAAUAGCC